GACAGAGGUGCCAAGCGUUAGGCGGAAUCACUGGGCUUAAAGCGUGUGUAGGCGGACCCGUAAGUACCUUGUGAAAUCCCACGGCUCAACCGUGGAACUGCUCGGUAUACUGCGGGUCUUGAGCUGCUUAGGGGUCGUCGGAACAAACGGUGGAGCGGUGAAAUGCGUUGAUAUUGGAAGGAACGCCGGAGGCGAAAGCGGCGCACUGGAUCUCUUCUGACGCUGAGGCGCGAAAGCUAGGGGAGCAAACGGG
rnacentral:rRNA from 1 species